GCAGGAUUACCCGCUGAACUUAAGCAUAUCAAUAAGCGGAGGAAAAGAAACCAACAGGGAUUGCCCUAGUAACGGCGAGUGAAGCGGCAACAGCUCAAAUUUGAAAUCUGGCGUCUUUGGCGUCCGAGUUGUAAUUUGCAGAGGGCGCUUUGGCAUUGGCAGCGGUCCAAGUUCCUUGGAACAGGACGUCACAGAGGGUGAGAAUCCCGUACGUGGUCGCUAGCCUUUACCGUGUAAAGCCCCUUCGACGAGUCGAGUUGUUUGGGAAUGCAGCUCUAAAUGGGAGGUAAAUUUCUUCUAAAGCUAAAUACUGGCCAGAGACCGAUAGCGCACAAGUAGAGUGAUCGAAAGAUGAAAAGCACUUUGGAAAGAGAGUUAAAAAGCACGUGAAAUUGUUGAAAGGGAAGCGCUUGCAGCCAGACUUGCCUGUAGUUGCUCAUCCGGGUUUCUACCCGGUGCACUCUUCUACGGGCAGGCCAGCAUCAGUUUGGGCGGUUGGAUAAAGGUCUCUGUCAUGUACCUCCUUUCGGGGAGAUCUUAUAGGGGAGACGACAUGCAACCAGCCUGGACUGAGGUCCGCGCAUCUGCUAGGAUGCUGGCGUAAUGGCUGUAAGCGGCCCGUCUUGUAACACGGACCAAGGAGUCUAACAUCUAUGCGAGUGUUUGGGUGUCAAGCCCGAGCGCGUAAUGAAAGUGAACGGAGGUGGGAACCUUUCGGGGUGCACCAUCGACCGAUCCUGAUGUCUUCGGAUGGAUUUGAGUAAGAGCAUAGCUGUUGGGACCCGAAAGAUGGUGA
rnacentral:rRNA from 1 species